UACGUAGGGUGCAAGCGUUGUCCGGAAUUACUGGGCGUAAAGCGCGUGUAGGCGGUUGUUCAAGUCAGGUGUGAAAGCCUUGAGCUCAACUCAAGAAAUGCACUUGAUACUGGAUGACUAGAGGACCGGAGAGGAUAGUGGAAUUCCCAGUGUAGUGGUGAAAUUCGUAGAUAUUCGCAAGAACACCAGUGGCGAAGGCGGCUCACGUGGCCCGGUACUGACGCUGAGGUGCGAAAGCGUGGGGAGCAAACAGG
rnacentral:rRNA from 1 species